rnacentral:rRNA from 1 species
AACGAACGCUGGCGGCAUGCCUAACACAUGCAAGUCGAACGAGACCUUCGGGUCUAGUGGCGCACGGGUGCGUAACGCGUGGGAACCUGCCCUUAGGUUCGGAAUACCUCCCCGAAGGGGGUGUUAAUACCGGAUAAUGUCUUCGGACCAAAGAUUUAUCGCUUUUGGAUGGGCCCGCGUUGGAUUAGCUAGUUGGUAGGGUAAAAGCCUACCAAGGCGACGAUCCAUAGCUGGUCGGAGAGGAUGAUCAGCCACACUGGGACUGAGACACGGCCCAGACUCCUACGGGGGGCAGCAGUGGGGAAUAUUGGGCAAGGGGCGAAAGCCUGAUCCAGCAAUGCCGCGGGAGUGAGGAAGGCCUUAGGGUUGUAAAGCCCUUUUACCCGGGAUGAGAAUGACAGUACCGGGAGAAUAAGCACCGGCUAACUCCGUG